rnacentral:rRNA from 1 species
GACGAACGCUGGCGGCGUGCUUAACACAUGCAAGUCGAACGGAAAGGCCCUGCUUUUGUGGGGUGCUCGAGUGGCGAACGGGUGAGUAACACGUGAGUAACCUGCCCUUGACUUUGGGAUAACUUCAGGAAACUGGGGCUAAUACCGGAUAGGAGCUCCUGCUGCAUGGUGGGGGUUGGAAAGUUUCGGCGGUUGGGGAUGGACUCGCGGCUUAUCAGCUUGUUGGUGGGGUAGUGGCUUACCAAGGCUUUGACGGGUAGCCGGCCUGAGAGGGUGACCGGCCACAUUGGGACUGAGAUACGGCCCAGACUCCUACGGGAGGCAGCAGUGGGGAAUAUUGCACAAUGGGCGGAAGCCUGAUGCAGCAGCGCCGGGUGCGGGAUGACGGCCUUCGGGUUGUAAACCGCUUUCGCCUGUGACGAAGCGUGAGUGACGGUAAUGGGUAAAGAAGCACCGGCUAACUACGUG